rnacentral:rRNA from 1 species
GGGGUAAUACCGUAUACGCCCGAAAGGGGAAAGAUUUUAUCGGCGAUGGAUGGGCCCGCGGCUGAUUAGCUAGUUGGUGAGGUAACGGCUCACCAAGGCGACGAUCAGUAGCUGGUCUGAGAGGACGACCAGCCACACUGGGACUGAGACACGGCCCAGACUCCUACGGGAGGCAGCAGUGGGGAAUAUUGGACAAUGGGCGCAAGCCUGAUCCAGCCAUGCCGCGUGAGUGACGAAGGUCUUCGGAUUGUAAAGCUCUUUGGCGGGACGAUAAUGACGGUACCCGCAGAAUAAGCCCCGGCUAACUUCGUG